GACGAACGCUGGCGGCGUGCCUAAUACAUGCAAGUAGAACGCUGAAGAGAGGAGCUUGCUCUUCUUGGAUGAGUUGCAAACGGGUGAGUAACGCGUAGGUAACCUGCCUUGUAGCGGGGGAUAACUAUUGGAAACGAUAGCUAAUACCGCAUAACAAUGGAUGACACAUGUCAUUUAUUUGAAAGGGGCAAUUGCUCCACUACAAGAUGGACCUGCGUUGUAUUAGCUAGUAGGUGGGGUAAUGGCUCACCUAGGCGACGAUACAUAGCCGACCUGAGAGGGUGAUCGGCCACACUGGGACUGAGACACGGCCCAGACUCCUACGGGAGGCAGCAGUAGGGAAUCUUCGGCAAUGGGGGCAACCCUGACCGAGCAACGCCGCGUGAGUGAAGAAGGUUUUCGGAUCGUAAAGCUCUGUUGUAAGUCAAGAACGGGUGUGAGAGUGGAAAGUUCACACUGUGACGGUAGCUUACCAGAAAGGGACGGCUAACUACGUG
rnacentral:rRNA from 1 species